UUAAGUUCAGCGGGUAUCCCUACCUGAUCCGAGGUCAAGAGCAAAUGUAUAGGCUUAAUGGAUGCCAACAUUCAUGACUAGAAGCGCAAAAUGUGCUGCGCUCCAAGGCCAAUAUGCCGGCUGCCAAUCGCUUUAAGGCGAGUCCACGCGCAACGCGGGACAAACGCCCAACACCAAGCAAAGCUUGAGGGUACAAAUGA
rnacentral:misc_RNA from 1 species